rnacentral:rRNA from 1 species
AGAGUUUGAUCAUGGCUCAGAACGAACGCUGGCGGCAUGCCUAACACAUGCAAGUCGAACGCUUCUGACGGCUUCGGCCGUCAGGGGAGUGGCGCACGGGUGAGUAGCGCGUGGGAACCUGCCCUGUUGUGGGGGAUAACCGAGGGAAACUUCGGCUAAUACCGCAUACGCCGGUUGUCUUGAGAGAGAUGGCCGGGAAAGAUUGAUCGCAGCAGGAGGGGCCCGCGUCGGAUUAGGUAGUUGGUGGGGUAACGGCCUACCAAGCCUGUGAUCCGUAGCUGGUCUGAGAGGAUGAUCAGCCACACUGGGACUGAGACACGGCCCAGACUCCUACGGGAGGCAGCAGUGGGGAAUAUUGGACAAUGGGCGCAAGCCUGAUCCAGCAAUGCCGCGUGAGUGAUGAAGGCCUUCGGGUUGUAAAGCUCUUUCGCCUGCGACGAUGAUGACGGUAGCAGGAGAAGAAGCCCCGGCUAACUUCGUGCCAGCAGCCGCGGUAAUACGAAGGGGGCGAGCGUUGUUCGGAUUUACUGGGCGUAAAGGGCGCGUAGGCGGCGAUGUAAGUCAGGCGUGAAAGCCCCGGGCUCAACCUGGGAAUUGCGCUUGGGACUACAUUGCUGGAGUUCGGGAGAGGAGCGUGGAAUUCCCAGUGUAGAGGUGAAAUUCGUAGAUAUUGGGAAGAACACCGGUGGCGAAGGCGGCGCUCUGGACCGAUACUGACGCUGAGGCGCGAAAGCGUGGGGAGCAAACAGGAUUAGAUACCCUGGUAGUCCACGCUGUAAACGAUGUGUGCUAGACGUUGGGGAGCCUAGCUCUUCGGUGUCGCCGCUAACGCUGUAAGCACACCGCCUGGGGAGUACGGCCGCAAGGUUAAAACUCAAAGGAAUUGACGGGGGCCCCGCACAAGCGGUGGAGCAUGUGGUUUAAUUCGACGCAACGCGAAGAACCUUU